GGCAGGUUGCCCGAGCGGCCAAUGGGAGCGGACUGUAAAUCCGUCGGCUAACGCCUACACAGGUUCGAAUCCUGUACCUGCCACAA
rnacentral:tRNA from 1 species